rnacentral:rRNA from 1 species
UAAACCUAAUAUAUCAUACGCAGUGAACUGAAACAUCUAAGUAACUGUAGGAAAGGAAAUCAACCGAGACUCCAGAAGUAGUGGCGAGCGAAACUGGACUAGCCUAUCGAUGAAUUGUUAAUAGAAUACUUUGGAAAAAGUAGUCCAUAGAAGGUGACAGUCCUGUACAUUAAC